ensembl:snRNA U6 U6 spliceosomal RNA
GGGUCUGACAAUCACCAUUCCAUUAAAAUUGGAAUGAUACAGAGGAGAUUAGCAUGGCCCCUGUGCAAGGAUGACAUGCAGGUCUGGAAAGUGUUCCAUGUGUUU